rfam:Dipodomys ordii contig_70646, whole genome shotgun sequence.
CCAAAGGCUCUUUUCAGAGCCACCUACGUUUUCAAGUAGAAGAAG